GUGCUCGCUUCCCAGAACAUGUAACAAGUGAGAACAACACGGAGGAGAUGAGCAUGGGUCCUGCCCAAGGAUGGCGCGCGCAUGCGUAAGGCGUUUAUCUUGCUU